CGCGGCCUAUCAGCUUGUUGGUGGGGUAACGGCCUACCAAGGCAUCGACGGGUAGCUGGUCUGAGAGGACGAUCAGCCACACUGGGGCUGAGACACGGCCCAGACUCCUACGGGAGGCAGCAGUGGGGAAUAUUGCGCAAUGGGCGAAAGCCUGACGCAGCAACGCCGCGUGGGGGAUGACGGCCUUCGGGUUGUAAACCCCUUUCAGCAGGGACGAAAAUGACGGUACCUGCAGAAGAAGCCCCGGCCAACUACGUGCCAGCAGCCGCGGUAACACGUAGGGGGCAAGCGUUGUCCGGAUUUAUUGGGCGUAAAGAGCUCGUAGGCGGUUGCGUACGUCGGAUGUGAAAACUCAGGGCUCAACCCGGAGACGCCAUCCGAUACUGCGCUGACUAGAGUCCGGUAGAGGAGCAUGGAAUUCCUGGUGUAGCGGUGAAAUGCGCAGAUAUCAGGAGGAACACCAGUGGCGAAGGCGGUGCUCUGGGCCGGCACUGACGCUGAGGAGCGAAAGCGUGGGUAGUGAACAGGAUUAGAUACCCUGGUAGUCCACGCCGUAAACGUUGGGCACUAGGUGUGGGGCCUCCUUAACGGGUUCCGUGCCGUAGCUAACGCAUUAAGUGCCCCGCCUGGGGAGUACGG
rnacentral:rRNA from 1 species